GAAGAACAAGAAGCUGCUGCGUUUGUGCUGUAGAGCCUCAUCUAGCUUUAAUAAUGCAGUCAGCAGAAGAGAGACAUGACACCCCUGUGGAUCUACAACAUGAAGAAUUCCAGAAGAAACUAAUAAAAAAGGAGGAUGAAGAAAAUGAAGAUGAUUUCUUCUGCAUUCUGAUGGAAACCUGUUUACCCGCCGAGGUUAAGGAUUAAAGUCGAGACUGCCGUGACAACUAUGCUGCUCCUGCCGGAUGUGACGGGUCUGGAGUAAUUGCACCAAGAAUGACAAGAAAUCACUACAGACUUUAUUGAAGACUAGAGCGAAGAACAACUCUAUUAUUAUUUAUCUAUUUAUUGCCAGUUAUAACUUUUAGAUCAUUUAAUUCUGUGUUUGUAUGCUUUGUGUAAAUCGUGUAUUUAUUUAAAGUAUCCUCCAGGCCACCCAAGAAGGAUGGGCCCUGCUGAGUCUGGUUCCUCUCAAGGUUUCUUCCUGUAAUUUUCAGGGAGUUUUUCCUUGCCACAGUCGCCCUCGGCUUGCUCAACAGGGAUUUUUGUAUCUAUUGGUCCUGGAUUUUGUAAAGUUGCUUUG